GAUUCGAGUAUUUGUUGAGAUUUGUAAAUGGUGAAUCUGCGUCUGCAAUUCAGUAGUACCUGAAGAAUUGCUGCGUACAUCUGUAAUCGCAGAAGAAAGCCAAAAACGCUUUUUAUCUUCACCAUGAGCCACGCGGCAGUAUAAGCAGGCGGCAGUUUCAGGACAGGCAUUUGUUCCGCUAGGAGUCUUAGGGUUAACUAAACACUUGGUCGCUUUCCAUCUUGAGUUUAUUAACAGUCCAUUUGCGACUUGAUUUCUUCCAAGAUCUUCCUUCUCUGCGAACUAAGCAUUAAACUGGAGAGUCAAAAAAAAACCUUUCAACACAAAGAAGAGUUUUAAGUGUUUUCUUUGCAAUACAAGCAACGAGGAAAAACUAAUGCAACUGUGUUACUCUCAAAUGGAUACGAUCUGAUCAGACCUCAACACGCCUGACUUCAUCUGUCACUGAUGAGGGGUGCGCUGCUGAUAAGGGAAAGUUCUUACUUGUGCUACCAAUAACAUUUUCCAAUGGAGGCUCGAGAGGCAUCUGCAGCUCCAAUCCCAGCACAUGUUCUUAAUAUUUGGGCUAUAGUAUUGGUCAUUUUAGCUGCUAUUGUUGUUAUGACCUCAGUGAUAUUGUGCCCAGCUAUCAUUGUUAUAUUAUACAGGAUAAGAACAAACCCAAUGAGGCCUGGACACAUCUAAUUUAAAGUCAAAUUCACUGCACCAAAUGAUGAUGAUGUUGUUAUAUAUUUAUGUUUAUAACAUACAACCCUAACUUUAAAAUUCCUUUUUAGGCAUUUUCAUUUUUUUUAAUAAAUGAUUCAUGUAUUUAAGUUCACAAUCCUUUUUUCAAACCUAGAAACUUCUUGACUUCAUUCUGGAUAUUUGGCUUCCAACUGAAAAUACCCCUCUUCUUUACUGACUUCACAAAUGGAUAUUUACAUCCUUAUAGUGUUUGCAUGUUUGCACUUUGAGUUUAUUCAAUGCUGUCUUAGGCCUCUUCUUUACUUCCAUAUUUGUUUGCAUAAGUGCAUUUCAAUAAACCGUUCAAUUCUGUUUUAGCUCAA